GGGCUCAUAGCUCAGUUGGUUAGAGCACCUGACUCAUAAUCAGGUGGUCGCAGGUUCAAGCCCUGCUGGGCCCA
rnacentral:tRNA from 1 species